rnacentral:rRNA from 1 species
CCUACGGGUGGCAGCAGUGAGGAAUAUUGGUCAAUGGACGCGAGCCUGAACCAGCCAAGUCGCGUGAAGGAAGACGGUCCUAUGGGUUGUAAACCUCUUUUGUCGAGGAGCAAAACACGCCACGCGUGCCUUUCCGCGUGUACCCUAAGAAAAAGCAUCGGCUAACUCCGUGCCAGCAGCCGCGGUAAUACGGAGGAUGCGAGCGUUAUCCGGAUUUAUUGGGUUUAAAGGGAGCGCAGGCGGGAGUUAAAGUCAGCGGUAAAAUUGAGAGGCUCAACCUCAUCGAGCCGUUGAUACUGGUUGUCUUGAGUGAGUGAGAAGUAGGCGGAAUGCGUGGUGUAGCGGUGAAAUGCAUAGAUAUCACGCAGAACUCCGAUUGCGAAGGCAGCAUACUGGAGUUCAACUGACGCUCAUGCACGAAAGUGUGGGUAUCGAACAGGAUUAGAUACCCGGGUAGUC